GAUGAACGCUGGCGGCGUGCUUAACACAUGCAAGUCGAACGGGAAUUACUUUAUUGAAACUUCGGUCGAUAUGAUUUAAUUCUAGUGGCGGACGGGUGAGUAACGCGUGGGUAACCUGCCUUGUACAGGGGGAUAACAGUCAGAAAUGGCUGCUAAUACCGCAUAAGCGCACAGGACCGCAUGGUCCGGUGUGAAAAACUCCGGUGGUAUAAGAUGGACCCGCGUUGGAUUAGCUUGUUGGCAGGGUAACGGCCUACCAAGGCGACGAUCCAUAGCCGGCCUGAGAGGGUGAACGGCCACAUUGGGACUGAGACACGGCCCAGACUCCUACGGGAGGCAGCAGUGGGGAAUAUUGCACAAUGGGGGAAACCCUGAUGCAGCGACGCCGCGUGAAGGAAGAAGUAUCUCGGUAUGUAAACUUCUAUCAGCAGGGAAGAAAAUGACGGU
rnacentral:rRNA from 1 species